rnacentral:lncRNA from 1 species
UGUGAAGAAGGAUGUAUUUGCUUCUCCUUCUGCCAUGAUCCUAGGAUUUAGAACCUGGACCUGGACGCCUCACUGCUUCCUGCUUCCUUAGUGCCUUGUGGCCUGGAGUCAGAAUAAUCUAGCUCAAACUUGGGAGUCAAAUGCUCCAGGGUCUUGAACUGGUCAGAGCUCUCAAUGCCGCAAAGACACUUUCAGAAGAGGAACGAAGGCCUGGAAGGAAAAGCAUCAGGGGAACGACGCUUACGUCUCUCCUCCUCCCUCCGGUCUCCCACCAGUGCUCCCAUUGGCUGAAGCCAACCAGAAGCCACAGGAAGCCCACUGUCUGUUCAGAUUUCUGACCCUUGGAAAACUGCAGAGCUCAAUGAUUAAAUGAAUGGACUUUGGAGCCAGGUGACCCUGGAUUCCAAUCCUGUCUCCACCACUCCAGGCUCUGAGACCUGGGCCAGUCACUCUGCCCUUCUGGCUUUAGCGUCUCCAUUUGUAAAACAGCACAGAGUGCCAGGCAGGUCAGACUGAAUGACAGACAGAAGGGACUUAGCGUCUUCUAUGCACUGGAUUAUGUUCCCCUAAAAUUCAUAUACGGAAGCCCUAACCCCCAGUGUGAUGGGAUUUGGAGAUGGGGCCUUUGGAAGGUGCUUAUAGCUAGGUGAGGGUAUGAGGGUGGGGCCCUCAUGAUGGGAUUAGCGCCCUUAUAAGAAGAGACACCAAAGAGCUUGCACACAUGUG